CACGUAGGGCGCAAGCGUUGUCCGGAAUUAUUGGGCGUAAAGAGCUCGUAGGCGGUUUGUUACGUCUGCUGUGAAAUCCUAGGGCUUAACCCUGGGCUUGCAGUGGAUACGGGCAGACUAGAGGUAUGUAGGGGAGAAUGGAAUUCCUGGUGUAGCGGUGAAAUGCGCAGAUAUCAGGAGGAACACCGGUGGCGAAGGCGGUUCUCUGGGCCUUACCUGACACUGAGGAGCGAAAGCGUGGGGAUCAAACAGG
rnacentral:rRNA from 1 species